CUUAUUCCAAAGCCAGGGCUAAACUCCACCAAGCUGAAUAUUCAUCAGACUUGACAGAUACAGAAAAUAUCUCAAGAAAAAGAAGUCUCCUUGUUGCCGGCAGGCCAAGUGCAAAACUUCUCCAGAGUCAACUGAGCACCCAGUUGGAAUCAAGUGAGCAUUCAGACUCUUCAGAGGAGCUUCCACCCACUCCACCAAACCAACUCCUUUGGCCAGCAAAGAAAGUGAGCAACUACUUUCAGAACCCCACUGACCAACAUGUUGCCAGCUAUACUCCCCUACGUAACACCAGUCAUGCUGCCCAACAAGGUGCCAGCACCACAAACCGAGGCGUUACCAGCCCCACAGCCACAGUUACCAGCCCUAGAGACCAAGGAGUUACCACCCCAACAGCCACAGUUACCAGCCCCACAGCCCAAGGAGUUACCAGCGCAACACCCCAAGGAGUUAGCAGCUCCAUAACCCGUAGC